GACGAACGCUGGCGGCGUGCCUAACACAUGCAAGUCGAGCGAUGAAGUUUCCUUCGGGAAAUGGAUUAGCGGCGGACGGGUGAGUAACACGUGGGUAACCUGCCUCAAAGAGGGGGAUAGCCUCCCGAAAGGGAGAUUAAUACCGCAUAAUAUCAGGAUCUCGCAUGGGAACUUGAUUAAAGGAGCAAUCCGCUUUGAGAUGGACCCGCGGCGCAUUAGCUAGUUGGUGAGGUAACGGCUCACCAAGGCGACGAUGCGUAGCCGACCUGAGAGGGUGAGCGGCCACAUUGGAACUGAGACACGGUCCAGACUCCUACGGGAGGCGGCAGUGGGGAAUAUUGCACAAUGGGCGAAAGCCUGAUGCAGCAACGCCGCGUGAGUGAUGAAGGCCUUCGGGUUGUAAAACUCUGUCUUCUGGGACGAUAAUGACGGUACCAGAGGAGGAAGCCACGGCUAACUACGUGCCAGCAGCCGCCGUAAGAC
rnacentral:rRNA from 1 species